rnacentral:lncRNA from 1 species
GCGGUGGUGGAGCUGGGGGCCGGGCGUACCCGCGGUGUGACAGGAUGGACGCCCCCCGUCUCUAGCCGUUCAGCUGCGCGGCUGUGCCUGCUGGUGGCGGUACCGGUGCGGCCUGGUGAACCUUGCCGGACCGACGUCUGAACCGACGGGUCGUGUGAUGUUGCUCUGGCUCUUUGGCUGUUUGUUUGUUUCUUCUUUUUUUUUUCGCGCGGCGUCGUGUGGGUGUAGCCGGUGUGCUUGCUUGGCGGAGACAGUACGGGUUCGUCUAGGUGCGCGGGAGUGGCCUGGCCGGUGCACGGCGGCGGUGCUCGUGCUGGGAGAUGACGACGACAGGCGGCGGAGGAGCGUCAACGCGUCGCGACUUUCACGAGGCCGUGAGCUCGUCGGCACGGGAAGUGACGGGCGACGAGCAUGCUUUGUCGAAAUUUUUUUUAAGAAUCCCCGUCAUAUUGAAUCGUUAAAUUCAUAUAUAAAGUAUUAAAUAAAGAUAAAAAAAUUAAUUACAUAAUUUAUCUGUAAUUUAUGAGACGAGCCUAAAGUCAGUCUCAAUGGAAGUUUCAUGUGAGUUUUAUUUACAUUAAAUAAGUUGCCUCAUAGGUUUUUCUAUGAUAUGACGGUGU